ensembl:lncRNA
CAGAAAGAGACAGGAUAUGCGCUCAUCCUGCCUGGCCAAUCAUGUAACGCCAGCUACUCCUGUAACUGAGACAAAGAACUGCCUGUAUAUAAGCCGCCAUACUCCUUUGUUCGUGGCUCUUGUCGGAUUCCCUUGUGUGGGAUGAGACUUGAGCCCUAGCGCACUAGAGAUAAACUCCCUUCUUGUUUCUGCAUUACUGUGGUGGACUUGCUCUCUUGGUGGGUUCGGAGAUACAGGCUCGGAGCAUAACAUUUGGGGGCUCAUCCGGGAUCUCCGUCCCGCCGGGGAGGACAAUUCUCCUGGUAGAAGGGAGUAACCUCGUUAGGAGAUAAGAGCUCUGAGCACCGGUGCUAACGUUGCAGAAGCCCAGAUUAAGUCUGAGGCCUAGUAUCUUACUGGGGAGGCAUCUGGCUGUAAAGUGCAGAGGCAAGUCAGCGUAAGGCCGGGGCCUAGUUUCGUGCUGGGGAGGCAACUAGCUCUGAUACUGGAUUAAGUCAGCGUAAGGCCAGGGCCUAGUUUCGUGCUGGGGAGGCAGCUGGCUCUGGUUACUGGAUUAAGUCCAGCUUAAGGCCGGGGCCCAGUUUCGUGCUGGGGAGGCGGCUGGCUCUGUGAACAUCCUGCAGCAAUUCCCAAACUGAUUUGACCAGAGAACCCUCGGGAAGCAUCAGAGUAUGGUGGCUGGAAACGCAGACUCAAGAGGCCGACCUGGCUGGCUUUGCAGCUUUCCAUUCCACCUACAACUGUUAUGACCUUGGAAAAUGGUAAAGACUGCCUGCAAUGUGGGAAACCCAGGUUUGAUCCCUGGGUUGGAAAGACCCCCUGAAGAAGGGAAUGGCAACCCACUCCAGUAUUCUUGCCUGGAGAAUCGCAUGGACAGAGGAGUCUGGAAGGCUAUACUUCAUGAUGUCACAAAGAGUCGGACACGACUGAGCGGCUAACAUCACCAUCACCAUACAUACUGUUUUAUAAGAAGAAAGUGGAGCCGGGAAGAGCUGCAUUCAGGAACUGGCUUUUUAGUGCCUGCAGAUGUAUUAAAAUUCUUAUACUUAAUGUGUCAAAAAAUCUCUUUUCAAAGUCAAAAAUAGAAACAGUUAAU